GCUUAAACACCGGUUCCUGUAUGACCACUAAAGUUAAGCAAUCUUGAGCCUGGUCAGCACUAAGAUGGAGGACUGCUUGGGAACACCAUGUGCUGUAAG